GGAGAUAUGGUCUAGUGGUAAGACAAAUGUCAUGAAGUGGGCUUUUCGAGCCAAGUUGCGUGUCUUUCGGGCAACUCAUAAGUGCGUGCUUUUCGGGCAAUCCUUAUGAGUAGUGUCUUCACCUUUAGAACAUGAGGGGAUAGUUCGAUUCUAUCUAUCUCCA
rfam:Botryotinia fuckeliana BcDW1 unplaced genomic scaffold Scaffold_173, whole genome shotgun sequence.